AUAACACAAGAGAUAGUUUGACUUGGAUGUGAGAUAUACUUUUAUUUUCUGCAUAUGACAAGGCCACAAAGAUUCUAAAGUGCCUGAUAUCAACAAAUUUCUGUUUAAAUACUUUUGGUCAUCUGAUAUUAUCUGAUAUUUAACUGUAUGAAGUUCAACAAGGCCAAGUGCUGGGUCCUGCACCUGGGGUGCAAGAACCCCAAGCAGAGCUACAGGCUGGGAGAUGAGUGGUUGGAGAGCUGCCUGGCAGAGAAGGACCUGGGAGUGAUGGUGGACAGUCAGCUGAAUAUGAGCCAGCAGUGUGCUCAGGUGGCCAAGAAGGCCAACAGCAUCCUGGCUUGUAUCAGAAACAGUGUGACCAGCAGGGCUAGGGAGGUGAUUGUUCCCCUGCACUCAGCUCUGGUGAGGCUGCACCUCAAGUACUGUGUUCAGUUUUGGGUCUCUCACUACAGGAAGGACAUGGAGGUGCUGAAGCGAGUCCAGAGAAGGGUGGCCAAGCUGGUGAGGGGCCUGGAGAACAAGUCCUACGAGGAGCGGCUGAGGGAGCUGGGCUUGUUCAGCCUGGAGAAGAGGAGGCUCUGGGGCAACCUUAUUGCUCUCUACAGGUACCUUAAAGGAGGCUGUAGUGAGGUGGGGGUUGGUCUGUUCUCCCACAUGCCUGGUGACAGAACAAGGGGGAAUGGGCUUAAGUUGCACCAGGGGAGUUUUAGGUUGGAUGUUAGGAAGAACUUCUUUACCGAAAGGGUUGUGAGGCAUUGGAACAGGCUGCCCAGGGAAGUGGUUGAGUCAUCAUCCCUGGAGGUCUUUAAAAGACGUUUAAACAUAGAGCUUAGGGAUAUGGUUUAGUGGAGGACUUGUUAGCGUUAGGUCAGAGGUUGGAUUCCAUGAUCUUGAUAUCUCUUCCAACCUAGACAAUUCUGUGAUUCUGUGAUAUAUUUUUAUGGACUGACAAGCACAAAAAAUGUAAAGAUGUAUUUUUAUUAAGGAAAACUAACUAAAAAUCCAGAGUGCACAUGAAUCCAUC
rnacentral:lncRNA from 1 species